CCCUCCAGCUCUGUGCGUUAGAGAACAAACUUUUUUUUAUCCCAAAAACUCAUUCUGAAGCAGUGGAGAAAAUACAGAAUAAGCCUUAGAAUAUUUGCUAUUAGAAUUUGUAGAAGGCUUCUAAUAUCACAAGUAUCCCAUUUUUAAGGCACUUGUUAUAAGUUAAAGACCCAAUCAAUAAACAAUGGAAGGUUCUAGGAAAAAUGACAUAGCUAACACUUUCCCAGAGAGUUAGUGGGCUGAGUGGGAAUCUGUCCUAGACUGCUUUUGCCAGGAAUCCUCGUGUCAGGGUGACCCAAAUACUGUGACGGGGAGUCAGAAGUUCAGGGGGCCAGCUUGUUCUUGGUAGGAAGGAGGCAGCUACUACGCUCACGCCCAACAACUGCCAUUUGAAUAGGUCCUUCCUCUCGGAGGGGAAGUGGUUCGUAAUUUUCCUUUUACACUCCUGGAAGUCCUUGAAUGGCAAUAUCACAGCUUGUACCCAUUCAGAACAGGAAAGUGUGACAUCCGCAGACAAUCUUGGCACGAGAGGAGGAAAAGCUACAGUCCAGUGUGUCAGCUUCUACAUGAGAACCGAGAAGAUCGUUUCUAUAUUGCAGCCAUGAGGUAAUCAUCACACUUGAGGUUGGCCUGCUGCCAAGGAAGCUUUUCCAAGUCAGACGUGAGCCAUGUUGGUAUUUUCAGGGCAGGGACCUCAAGGAAAGCAAUGCUUUAGGGCCAUGAACAAAUAUAAUUUGUUAACUUCAAGCCUAAAGAUAGUUACUGGGAAAGUGAGGUGGCCUCCAGUGGUGGAAGGGGUGCUACCCUGACUACUUUGGGAAGUGGGGCCUGGUCAGAAGGGUUCAGACACACAGGGGUGCUCAGGUUAACCACAGACAUUGUUUAAAGUGUUAGAAAAGCCCAGGAUACCUCCUGGACAGGGCACUUGGCGAGGCUGUGUCGUAGGUAAUGUCACUUAUCCCCACUGUGAGCGGGGAUUGUAGAACUUUUAGAUCUGUUCUCAUCCUCCCUGAAGCACACUUCUUGGGGGAAAUAAAGAGAUUAACACAAUGUCCAAAGUAGGAGAAAGAAUUGGGGGCAGAUACCUCAAGGAGGAAGGAGACCCAAGAAAAGAGAAUGUAGGAUCAGGCCGCAAAGGAUCUCAGAAGUUAAGCUUUUACCGGUAAGAUUACUUUUGGUGAUGAUAGUCUGUUGUUUUUGUAAGUCUAGGAUCAAAAGCUAAUCAGCAAAUAACCAGAUUAAUUGCACAGAAUGAGACAGAAAGAGCUCCGCUCUUUGUGUUUAAUGAAUCCAGAUGCUAACCAACGAAAUAUUCAGGACAUGCAGUAUUAAAGUUCUGGUUCGGGUCAACUUGGGGACACUGAGCAGGUAAUGUGUCACUUCUUUCCACGCAUUUCAUACCCCAGAACUGCAGAUGGAAAACAGAUUUAUGCAAAAAUCUAUUUUCCUUUUUUUUCUUUUGCCAAAGACCAAAUAUAAAAGCUUAUAUCCUUCAAAUCACAUUUAACGAUUCUUGAAAUCAGAUUUAGAAUUAGGGCAAUCAUAGCAAAAUGCCAGGAGAGUAAAUUGCAAAACAAUUUAUUUAAAGUUACAGGAAUAAUUUCUUGCUGAGAGAAGCCAACCAUUCUUUUACUGUUUGGUGCUUUGGAAAAGAGACAGACUUUAAGUACAAAAGACAAAAGACUAAAAUUCUGCCUGCGUUUCAGUUUCCAGUCUGAGACAGCUGUUGGGUGAUAUCACCCAUCGUGAAAACAGCCGUGUGUGGAGGGAAUUAGCAGAUGAAAAGCAAGGGCUCGGGAUACAGAGUGUGUAAACGUGCCUUCGCUGUCUCUUCCCAUUCUCCUCAUGGAUAGAUGCACCUAAAAGCACAGUUACACAUGUGGAUGUUUAUACAAAGGAUAAAGGGCACACGGAAGGGUUCAAGACACAAAAACCUGCAGAGGAAGCUCAACAUUUCAAGAUUCAGAUCAUGUUGCUGCCCAAACUCAGAGGGUCUCUAAGGAAACAGUUAGAAGGUUGUUUGGCUCUCAGCUCACUUCCAAGGAGUACAGUCUGCCACAGAGAAGGAAAGAAGCACCAAGAAAACGCCAAUUUUUGUCACGCUAACAUCUUUCUUAAGGCUGAUCGUGGACUUGGUAAACAUGAAGUAUCUCAGUCCGGGAGUCGGUCCAGAGGGUUUACAGUUAGGCUCUGCAGAAGGACUUGGGGGAAACCUGGAAACGAGGAAUGCAGACACUCACUAAUGAGAGAACAGUUUGACACCAGAGCCUUGUUUGACGUGAGUGGCGAGGUCAGGAAAUGAAAUUCCUAAGCAUGGUUUAGAACUGAGUUCACUGCAAGCAGAGACAGACGACAAGCACUGGAGAAAGGGCUGAGAGGAAACGGGCACGCAAAAGUGACCUGCUAUCAUCCAGAAGACCUGGCCAGGGCCCGCAGGAGAUUGCUGGAACUGUCCUAAUUCAAGCAAACAGCUCUCAAAAACUGGUAUCCUCCUAGCCAGUGGGGAGACGGCAUUCUGCAUCUCACGCACGGGGAGCCCAAGCUCCAGUGAGCCAGCCAGGCACUGUCAGUGCUCCGCCCAGACUCUGUCCCCUGACCAGAAGACUUAAGAAUGUUCUCUCAGGUGCCAGACAGACCGCACCUCUGCAAAUCGCUGUGAGAUGCCCAUACAGUGACUAAGACUGCAGAGACUUCAGGAUUCACGAUGAUGCAUCUGUAUUGCUGUGUGUGUAAGACAGACAAACGUGGGAGAAGAAAUAGUGGGUUUUAGUCUCAGCUCUGUUAUAUUUCUCUGGCUUCAGGAAGUUACUGUUCCUGUCUCUCAUUCCCUCGUCUGUCAAACAAGUGUGGGUGAAUGAGGAAACAGAGAGGUUCAAGUGUACACGGUCCUGGUGCAGAGGUCUCUAAUGUGUUUACACCAUCGCCUAGCAGAAUUCCACAGCUUGUACUCUCCUUUUCAAGAUCCUUCCUGUCUAUCCUACCUUAAAUCUUUGAUCUCCAGCAUUCCACGCCAAACCUAUGCUUCUCCAGUCCUGCUUUCUCCCUGGGUGGUCUCACACAUUUCUAGCUCUUGUUCCACACUUAUUUUGUCUGAUAUUCCUGUACCUACUCCAGCUUGCUUUGGGUUGCUAUUUGCUUGGUUUAUCCUUUUCCAUACUUUUGCUUUCAAUCUAUUUAUAUCCUUAAAUCUGUAGAGAGCACACAGUUAGAUCUGUUUCACUUUGUAAUCAUCUGAUAACCUUUGCACUUGACUAGAUCAUGUGAUUAUAUGCAGCAGUAUUAUUGAUAUUGUUGGAUCUACCACUUUGCUUUUGUAUCUCAAAUUUGCUUUAAAUUGAUUCUGCUUUCUUUCACAUUUAACAGACAUUUUCUAGCAUAAUCUAAUUUGCUUAGUAGUUUAUCAUUGUAUUUUAAAAAUUGUUGUCUUAGUGGUUGCUGUCAGGCUUAUAAUAUACAUCUAACUUUAUCAAAAUCUAAUUUCACGUAUAUGCUAACUUAAUUCUACUGCAAAGCAGAAACUUUGCUUCUGUUCUAUAACUCCCUUCUCUCUAUAUUUUAUAGCCCUAUUGUCCUAUGCAUUAGAAUUACAUAUGUUAUAAAUUUACCCAUAUAUUGCAAUAAUUACUACUUUGCAUGCAUUUGCACACCUGUGCAUUCACACACACAUGUAUAUUUUACAAAGCCAAGGAGAAGGUCAGCUGAUCCACAGAGCUCACUGUUGAUUUUCUUGUGCCCUUCCUGAUUUACUCCUUUCUUGUGUGGGUUCCAGUCCUCAUCUGGCACAUUUCUCUCUCCCACCACAGUCCGUGUCAUACCUCCCAGGCCUCUGUUUGCAAAACCACCUUUCCUUACAUGGUGAGCUUGGCAGUACAAGUUGAUGGGCAUUGUUUUACACAUACAUUUCUUUUCAAAUCAGUUAAUAGAAGAAAGAUGGAGAAAUAUGCAAUUACCUUGGUUUUUAAUCAUUUUUUUCUGAGCUGAAAGUCAUCUAAUGUAUAAUUAAACAUACUAAUGUGUAGAAUUCAGUGCCAUUGAUUGCCAAAAGCCACUUUUAGUUUUAAAACACUCUCACAGCCCCAGAAACACACUCCAAACCUGGAAGCAGUUCCCACAUCCCUUCCCUGUUCCCUGGCAACCACUCGUCUACUCCAGUCUCUUCAGAAUUAUUUCCUCUGGACAUAAAAAGAAUCUUGUAAUAUGUGACCUUUGCGAUAGCUUUUUCUGCUUAGCAUAUUUUUGGGGUUCAGUUUUAUUUUAGUACCUAUCUGCACCCUAUUCUUUUUAACAGCUGACCAAUACCUCACUGACUAGAUAGCAGAAUGUUUAUCUAUUCAUAUGUUGGAGGACAUCAGAGUCACACUUAGGUCUUCAUCUGGGCUGACUACUGUGGCUGUAAGCAUGCUGUACAGGUUUCUGUGCCUGACAAAUGUUUCCAUGCCUUUCGGAGGCGCACCGAGGAGCUGAGUUGCUGGCUCACCUGGUAAUUCCAUCCCUUCCAGGACCCACCACUCCUUUGGCACAGUAACCAAACAGUUCUGGCCUUUCACUGGCAUAAGACAAAAGCUCUUACUUCCUCACCUCUCGGCCACCAUGUGCACUCUUGCGGCCAUCCUGGUGAACACAAGUGGGUGUCUCACUUGGCACUUAUUUACUUCUUUAAUGACUAAUGACAUCAAAUGGCAUUUCUCUUUAGAGAAAUAGCUAUUUAAGUACUUUGCCCACGUUUUAAAUUGAGUUGCUAGGGUUCUUUAUGUGUUCUGAAUAGUAAAGAGACCCUUACUAGAACUACAAUGUGCGAAUGACCACUUCCAUUUGUGAAUUUCCUUUCCACUUUCAGGCCAGGAGAUUCAAGAGCUCUUUCUGCUCUCUCUCCAACACUCACUGAUGUAGCAAUCAUGCUCCACAGCCCCUAACCCCUGAGCCUUUCAUCGGGACCCCAGACUUCAUUUGAGGCCAACUACUGUACUUGCCACCAAGCUGCUGUGGCUUUUCUUCCCCAAAAGAUGUUCUUUAUCUCAGUAAGUGGAACUGCACCAUGGACCUAGUUCAUCGUGUCAGAAACCUGACAUCCACCUGACAGCCUCCCACUGACACAGCACAGCAACCCCAUGGCGUCUCCCUCGGUCAGAGGCCUGGCAGGCUAAACCUCCCCCUGGCCCACCUCACCACUGUGGGCUCUUGGCUUUCUUUCCUGCACUCCGCCUCUCUGAGCUGCAUAUGCUUUCAGAGGCACCAUUUGUUACACAGGUGUUUUGCCUGGCACAGCUCUGACCCAGCUGGGUGAGUUGCUCUGCACCUCACCUCUUUUUUUUUUUGUCUUUUUCCUUUUUAUCGGUACCAGGGAUCGAACUCACGACUGCCUGCUUGCAAGGCAGGCGCUCAUGCCGCUGAGCUAAAUCCCCAGCCCUGCACCUCACCUCUUACCUGGAGGCCUAGGUUGCACCCCUGGCAAGAUUGUAUUGUCCUGCUUGCAAGGUGCUUUCCUCCACCUCAGAUUCUCCCUCUCCUUCUCCCUUUGCAAGGCCCACCUUUGCUUUCUUUUUGUUUUAUGUUAAAGUUCACCUUUGGUCACUUUUUCUCUGACCUUCUGUGCUGCUUCAGCUCAUUCCUUUCCUUCACAGUUCUUGUGAAGUUUUUGACAUGAUUUUUAAUGCAGCUGUUUAAUGAGCUACUGUCUGCUGCUUCCACUGUACAGUAAACUUUGAGGCCACAGGGAGCACAGUUUUUAAAAAAUUCAUCAUUCUGAUAAACGCCUAGAAGUAAUGAUAAUAACUCUUACCUGUCAAGCACUAGGUAUAUUCCAGAAACAUAAAGAAUAUACACUGCAUAUUAUAUACACAUAUACAUAUACAUACAUAUAACACAUACAUACAAUAUACUUGAUGUUAGGGUUCUAUAGAGGAAAAGAUCAAUUGAAUAUACAUGCAAAAUUACACAAAGGGACUUCUAGGCAAGUUCAAAUGAUCAAAGCAGUAGAGUCCAUCGUGGCUGUGUAUGUGCUGGAGAGUCAGAGGUUAGAGGACCCAGGAUCUCAGCUCAAGAGGAUGGAAGCUGAGAAGCAGCAGCAGCAUGGAUAUAGCACCAGUCUAAGAUCAGAGACCUGAAGUUCCUUGGAAGGUCACAAUCCCAGUCUGUACUGAAGCCUGAAGAAACCAGAGAUGUGGAGAUAAUUUCCAAAGGCUACAGCAGCAAAGGAUGGACCAGCAGCAAAAGAUCAUUCUGGAAGGUGUGGACCACACAGGAGGACAGGAGCACUUCUUUCUUCUUUCCCUUUUAAUUGCAUUCAGGCUACUGGUUGUGCCACGUACCUUGGGAUGGGUCUUCCCCCCUCAAUUUGCUGGCGUACCUGUCAGUCUUCUAUAGGCACACCCAGAACUGUGCUCCACUAACCUGCUAGGCACUUCUCAAUCUAUUCAAGCUGACAUAUGAUUAACAGUCACAGAUGCAUGCAUAUAAUACAUGUACACAUACAUAUUCAUAUAUGUACACACUCAAAGGCACACAUCAUUCAUCCAUGCAACAACUGCAUGAACUACAUGAUUUUAUUUUAGCUGUACAGCUGUCUAAAUUAAAGCACAGUGACAUGCUUUGUUCAUGGUCAGUAAGCUCCACUUGAUUAGAUGUGUGCUGGAUGAAGACACUACAAAAAGUGGUGAGAUUUUUUUUCCACCACAGACUAUUUUGGGAUGAGUCUCAUAGCAUCAUGCCUUUCACUUGGUGCAGUAAAGAGAACAAAGUAGGUAUUCAGUUAGGGUUUGCAGAAUGAAUGAGCCAGGAUGAAACCAGAUGAAGAACCCAUUGCACAAAAAGCAGUGCUGGCCAGCAGAGGCUUCUGAGUUGAUGGGAGGGUUCUGCCACUGAGCUCCACCCUGGACAGUCAUCACUGGUCACCUGUGUGUGGUUGCCAAGUGCUUCAGACAUGGCCAGUGUAUCUCAGGAACCAGGUUCUACAUCUCUUUCAUUUUAAAUAUCUUAAAUUUAAAUGGCUGUCUCAUUACUGACAGCCACAGUACCAGCCUAAGACUUGAAAUGGUAUCACUUUGGGUGCUUCGAAGUUUACAGAGUUUUGAGGAAACCCAAAGACAGAAGACAAAACCUGAAUUUCCCUUUCAUUCCUUUUUGCCAUGGUGCUCUCAGGUCUCAGGUUCUCAGGCAUCAGCCGCCCUCCUACCUUCCUUCACUGUAGCUUGUUGCAGCAAACGUCCUUCCUCAGAUGUGCCUCUGCUUCCCCACCCAUUCAGAAGCACCCUACGAGGUCCCCCAAAAGUAUUUAAGUGGCCAGUAAACACUCAGUGUCUAACUCAAAUGCAGCCCUCAGGCCCUGGGGGUGGGGACAGAGAAUUGGAUAGAAUGACAUGGGAGCAGUCAUACUCAUCAAGGGAGCAGUGCGGUGGGCAGGCUGAGAAUCUGGUUUGCAGCGAGGGUUCUGAUCAGGGCUUCAGCAGGGCCCGCUCUCCAGAAAUUUCUGUGAAACAGCACUGGUCCCAUGUGUGCACCUGGACAGGGUGGUUCAGUGGAUGGAGUCACUCUUGCUUCCUACACUGAACCCUUAUGAAUAAGGGAAGGUAAAUGACAGUCUGUAUGGAGAACACUUGUAUUUUCUCCUGGAAAAAUAAUCAAACAAAUAGUAGAUAAAAAUCAAAGAAAGAAAGAAAGAAAAAGAAAGAAAAAACGAAAGAAAGAAAGAAAAUCAAAGAAAAAGAAGCAGAAGUGGUGUGCAGGACUCCUCCAGCGCAUGGGCAGUUACUUCUCCUAGUCUCAACCAUGUCCACAGUUGGGUGAGGGAAAAAACAUUUCUUUCCUCCCACCAUUGGCAUACUUAGAAUCUCCCUUACAGUGUAUGUAGGUUAGAGCAAAAAGAUGCUGCUUUGUUUGAUUUUGCUUUUUCUGUGGAAUCCAUUACAAAGUAAUGUACUCUUGUAUGUCAAAGGCCAGAAAAGCUCCCCUUUUCUCUUCUAAAAGCUUUGGGGAUAAGUCAAAUAUUGUAUUUAUUCCACUCAGUUCCGUUUGAUAAUUAGAUGUGUGCUGGCUAUACAUACUAUGAAAGAGCAGUGGAUCUUUUCACUACAAAAAGCUUUCUAUUUUAGGAUGGGUCUCACAGUAUCACAUCCCUACAAGUGAAGUUUUCACUCAGUUACCCAAAUGUCUCUCUAUAAACAGGAAGCACUUAGGCUAACCAAUGACAGUUAUCAGUGCAUGGGUGGAGUGACCAUGUCUUUGGCUUUCUCAGAUUUACUGGCAAAUUUCAAUAAAAUCAGUUCAUUAUAUGCAAA